ACUAUACAUACAAGGCUAAUGAAAAAAAGUGCACAAAUUGCAUUAACCCAACCACAACAAACAUCGAGCUGUCUCUUAAAACAAGACACUACAGUGUGCGCGGACAGAAAUUACGAAGAAGAAGAAGAAGAAGUAGCAGCGGUAGUAGGAUCUCGCGCAUGCGCACAUCAUGACUGUCUCCUCUCAAAGUCACUGACGUCACAGCGGAAGUAGUGGAUUUGUGCUGAAUUGGAGCAUGUGUGUAUACAGCGCCGUAAACUGGAUCAACAACGUAUAACUGUUACAGUAUUUCAGUUAAUAUACAGUUUAUAGAAGAGGUGGUGGCGCCAUGGCACCUACAUUACUCCCGUCUCUGCUCGGGUCACUGACUCGGCAGCUGUCUUGGGCUGUGCGGUAUGCGUCUGUCGCCUGUCUUCCUGCUACUGGAGCACGUCGCUGCAUUUCCACCAUCACCGCUGCUAUGGUUCAGGCCAGAGGAAGAUUUCAGGCCCAGCACAGUCCUUUCCGAGCACCGUUACUUGGACAGAACCAGGAGUUUGUAGCUCUGCAGCCUUCGAUGGGCAUGAAAACCAAAACAGCUCUGAAGAAACGUUGUAAAGACUGCUUUUUUGUCCGUCGCCGAGGGCGACUGUUUGUAUUUUGCAAGAGCCACCCGAGGCACAAACAGCGGCAAGGGUGAAUCUGUUCUGAAGCUUUUCUGAACACCGUAUUCUCUGUAAUAAUAAAGCCAAGUGUGUCACUUGAA